GUACCAAUGGCCGACGUUUCAUAUAGCAGCUUUCGCUGCCAUUAUAAGAGUCUGUUUUAAUUUUGAAAUAGAAAUUAACAAUAUUGUUCCAUAUUUUCUCGCAAUUUUCGACUAUUGUUGUCACACGAAUGUCUGUGCUUCAGCGUGGGGAUUCAUCCAACGAAUGUCCAUGUUUCUGCAAGUGAUAAAUGGGCCCUCAGUGUGUCGGGCGAUCACCGAUAAGGCUGGAUGCAAACUUCUCUCAUACCGACCGACGAAGAAAAACCUUUUUUUCUUCUCAGGAGAAUAAGCCUCGCUGCCUCAGCCCGUUCUCUGUUGCAACGGAUCCCUGACGACAGCCACCGUGUUCCUCACACCGGCCAGCCAGUCGAUUCUACAGAACUGUAGGCGCUUCUACAGGUUUCAAUUACAACUUUUAAUUAGCAAUCUGCCUUGCAAGAGGAAGGGAAGAGGGAAAACUUUCUACGUAGGAAGGGAAAAAAGAAGAAAAACUCCCUCUCUCUGGAGACAAAAUAAAAGAAGUGUAAACAUUUGAAGCAACAGUGAAUUAAGUCGUAACCUAAUGCAAGAUUUUUGUGAUAUUUGAAUUAUACACCACUAAAGUGAAUUUAAUAAAAUUUACCAGAGUCCAUCCGCUACCACACAGAUUACCAAUAAUUAUGUAUCAACACUUUUUUAUCAGAAGCGUUCCUACAGUUUUGACCCGCUGUAUAAUAUUUGGUAAAGUCCUUGCUUAAAAAAACUGACCUUCUGGUCUGUAUUUGGUGUUUAAGACCAAUGAGUGGCGGGUGUCCAACAAU